AGGCCUAAGACAUGCAAGUCGUACGCGAACGACCUUUCGGGGUUAAGUAGAGUGGCGAACGGGUUAGUAACGCGUGGGAACAUACACAGCACAGGGGGAUAACCAUUGGAAACGAUGGCUAAUACCGCAUACGCCCUAUUGGGGAAAGAUUUAUCGGUGUUGGAUUGGCCCGCGUUAGAUUAGCUAGUUGGUGGGGUAAUGGCUCACCAAGGCGACGAUUUAUAGCUGGUUUGAGAGGAUGAUCAGCAACACUGGAACUGAGACACGGUCCAGACUCCUACGGGAGGCAGCAGUCGGGAAUAUUGUGCAAUGGGGGCAACCCUGACACAGCCAUGCCGCGUGAGUGAAGAAGGCCUUAGGGUUGUAAAGCUCUUUCAGAUGUGAGGAUGAUGACGAUAGCAUCAGAAGAAGCUCCGGCUAACUUCGUGCCAGCAGCCGCGGUAAUACGAAGGGAGCUAGCGUUGUUCGGAAUUACUGCGCGUAAAGGGCGUGUAGGCGGAUUAUCAAGU
rnacentral:rRNA from 1 species